rnacentral:rRNA from 1 species
GUGUCCUACGGGGGGCAGCAGUGGGGAAUAUUGCGCAAUGGGCGAAAGCCUGACGCAGCGACGCCGCGUGAGGGAUGAAGGUCUUCGGAUCGUAAACCUCUGUCAGCAGGGAAGAACGGUCACUGUGCUAAUCAGCAGUGAAUUGACGGUACCCAAAGAGGAAGCUCCGGCUAACUACGUGCCAGCAGCCGCGGUAAUACGUAGGGAGCAAGCGUUGUCCGGAAUUACUGGGUGUAAAGGGAGCGUAGGCGGGAUGGCAAGUAGAAUGUUAAAUCCAUCGGCUCAACCGGUGGCUGCGUUCUAAA